AUUUAAAUAGUUUAAUAAAAAUAUUGAUUUGUGGAAUCAAAGAUGUUAAUUAACUUUAGAUA
rnacentral:tRNA from 1 species